UUCAAGAUGCACAGCCAUGAGAAGAUUCUGCCUGAAAACUCUAUGUACUGGUCUAGCUGUCGAGGAAGUCAGCUGAGUCCUAGCUUAUCCCUUCUGUCACUUGAGUGAAUCUACUUGACCUCAAAUAGAUUAAGGACUUGCCCAAUAACAAACGGAAAAUCAGUUGCAAAGAGAUUGUGAAAAGAGCCAUCCCUAACCCUCUCACUGGAAAUCGCUGACUUGUAUUAUAUGUAGUACACCUGGGCUCUUUUGCACCUGGGCUCAUCUCUUGAUGUCUUAUAGUGGCAAUGGUGAGAAGAGACAGAAGGAAAACCUAAAGGAAAAAAAAAAGAGGCUUAAAGAUUGGGAAGAUGUCCUCCAGGCAGAAGAGGCAACAUGGAUAACAGACACAAUUCCAGGCCUGAGGGAGCUUGGAAUGUUUGGAGGGUGGAAAACCUUUCUUGCAGCUUGAUGUGAGCCUGUGCCCAAAUGGAGGAAACCCAUCUGGUGGUGAUGGUGGUAGUGGUGCCAUGGAGGUUCAUACAUAACUGCAAAGCAGUGACAUUAAGCAAGUUUUGAAAGUGAAGAAAGCAUUUCCACCGCCCGACCUGAGGAAGACAUUAAUGUCCUCUGUUUGACACAGGGGCCUGUUAAAAAUAUUGGAGGUUGUUCUCACUCGCUGAAGCACUGGAAUAUUGGAUCAGAAGUUCUUGCCAUUGACACACUGGUGUGAGUGCCUUCCACAGAGCAGAUGUUACAUAUCUUUCCGGUGAAUUAAUCUGGAUGCCUAUUGAUAUUGAAAAUGGUGUAUUUUUGGUAAAAUUAACUGAGACAUUUCAGUUUGUCUUAAAAUUCAGUAAAACCUUGAUUUGCAGUUAAAAACAGAGAGAGAUGUAAUUUAUAUGCUCAGUAAUUCUUUAAGUAGCCUCCGCGUUUACUGAUUUCUACUUCUCUUUAUGACCAAGUCUAAACCAACUUGUACUGUUUCUCCGAUGAUAGUUAGAUUUGAACAUGUGUUGAAUCUUGCAAGUUUCUCUGCUAUGAAAAUAAACAUAAG